CCUACGGGCGGCAGCAGUAGGGAAUUUUGCACAAUGGGCGAAAGCCUGAUGCAGCAACGCCGCGUGAUUGAUGAAGCCCUUCGGGGUGUAAAGCUCUGUCAGUGGGGACGAAACUUGACGGUACUGACUGAGGAAGCACCGGCUAACUCCGUGCCAGCAGCCGCGGUAAUACGGAGGGUGCAAGCGUUGUCCGGAAUUAUUGGGCGUAAGGGGGUCGUAGGAGGCAAAAUAAGUCUGGUGUUAAAUGCAGAAGCUAAACUUCUGUUCGGCAUUGGAUACUGGUAAGCUUGAAUGCGGUGGAGGGAAAGGGAAUUCCUGGUGGAGCGGUGAAAUGCGUAGAUAUCAGGAAGAACAUCGGUGGCGGAAGCGCUUUACUGGGCCGUAAUUGACGCUGAGGAACGAAAGCCGGGGUAGCGAAUGGGAUUAGAUACCCGGGUAGUC
rnacentral:rRNA from 1 species